GCAUAUCAAUAAGCGGAGGAAAAGAAACCAACAGGGAUUGCCUCAGUAACGGCGAGUGAAGCGGCAACAGCUCAAAUUUGAAAUCUGGCCCUUUCAGGGUCCGAGUUGUAAUUUGGAGAAGAUGCUUCGGGUGUGGCCCCGGUCUAAGUUCCUUGGAACAGGACGUCAUAGAGGGUGAGAAUCCCGUAUGUGACCGGUGGCCUCGCCCAUGUGAAGCUCUUUCGACGAGUCGAGUUGUUUGGGAAUGCAGCUCAAAAUGGGUGGUAAAUUUCAUCUAAAGCUAAAUAUUGGCCAGAGACCGAUAGCGCACAAGUAGAGUGAUCGAAAGAUGAAAAGCACUUUGGAAAGAGAGUUAAACAGUACGUGAAAUUGUUGAAAGGGAAGCGCUUGCAACCAGACUUGCGCGCGGCCGAUCAUCCGGUGUUCUCACCGGUGCACUCGGUCGCGCUCAGGCCAGCAUCGGUUUGGGUGGCUGGAUAAAGGCCUCGGGAAUGUGGCUCCCCUCGGGGAGUGUUAUAGCCCGAGGUGCAAUGCAGCCUACCCGGACCGAGGACCGCGCUUCGGCUAGGAUGCUGGCGUAAUGGUUGUAAGCGACCCGUCUUGAAACACGGACCAAGGAGUCUAACAUCUAUGCGAGUGUUUGGGUGUCAAACCCAUACGCGUAAUGAAAGUGAACGGAGGUGAGAACCCUUAAGGGUGCAUCAUCGACCGAUCCUGAUGUCUUCGGAUGGAUUUGAGUAAGAGCAUAGCUGUUGGGACCCGAAAGAUGGUGAACUAUGCCUGAAUAGGGUGAAGCCAGAGGAAACUCUGGUGGAGGCUCGCAGCGGUUCUGACGUGCAAAUCGAUCGUCAAAUUUGGGCAUAGGGGCGAAAGACUAAUCGAACCAUCUAGUAGCUGGUUCCUGCCGAAG
rnacentral:rRNA from 1 species